AAGAACAGCCAACAACUAGGCGAUUUCCAUACUUCUUAUCCCCGGUGAAGUUCGGGUUCGAAGACGGAUCUUAACAGAUCCGUCCAGGUUCGUCCUCUUUUGAUUAAAUUCCCAUCAAUAAAUUUCUUAGUUGUAACUAAUUUUUAUAUUACAUGUUUAUCUUAUGUGAGAAUCAUUAAUGCUUAAGCAAUGUCAUCUCAAGCAUGAAUCGAGUCCUUUUGGUUUGAGUUGUUUAAGUCGCGCAUGUUAUUAUAAAUUUAGUGUGAAUUUGCCUUGUUUUAAAAUUCUCUAUUAGAAUCCCAAUGAUCCUGGAAUAUUGCUUUUGUAUUCAAGAUUGGUCGUUCUUAAGUUAAUCUGUUAGGAUUUGAUGAUGGAAUUUUCUCGUUAAUUAAUAUAACUAGUGUCUAAAACAAAGUGACUAUUGGCUUAUUUGAUUAUGUAAGACUAGCAUGUAAUUUGCUUGCUUGAUUUUGCAUAAUUUUGAUUAUUUGAUGCUAAAUGAAUCCGGACAGAUUUGGCGGCUCUUGGUAAGGUAAAUUUGCUUAUUAUUAAUUUUUAAUUGAUUGUAAUAGCCUUAAUUUGAGUUGAAUGGAUCCGGUUCCUUACUUGUUUUAUUUUUUGAAUGGAGAUAAAUAUAAUAUUACUGAUCUAGUUCUUUAAAUAAAGAAAAUAUUUAAUUGAUCCCUCCCCCAUUAAUUAUUGUCCCAAACAGAUUUCCUACAUGUGAUAUCCUUGGUAAGUGAUUGAUUUUAAUUUGUUUCCUUCGCUUGUGGACUGAUUUUACUUCCUACGGAUAAGGAAUUGAUAGUGCAUUAAUUGGCCCCAAGAUUUUUCUUUUCCUUAGUUGUUUAUUCUGCCGAUUGGAGUGUAUUAAUAUAAUGAUUGUUUCCCUUGGCGUAAUUAGAAUUCAAAUAGACUUUGCUUCCCUUAUGCAUGCUAGCCGGUUCUUACUUUAUUAUUUGUAACUUUUUAUUAUUUCCUUGUCUUAUUUAGUUGCUCUUAUAAUUGGUAAUUUUAAUUAAAAUCUGAUUUGACUCUCCUUUGAAAUAAGGAAAAUGUUAUAUUAAUUAAUUCCUUAAAAUAUUUUCUUUCCUUCUAAACCAUGCCCCUCUCACUUGGUAUAUAAACUAGGCUCCCUUUCGUUGUUGAGGGUCAUCAUCCGAAUUUGUUCACAUACUAAAAUACUAAGAAAGUUAUAUUACUCUCUGCUUGAAAAGAAUCUCCGGUGAACUUCUAAAGUAUUUUGCUGUGUUCGGGUCGAAUAAGUGUGGAAACAACUUGUCUUCAUUGCUGAUUAUUCUUUAAGUGCUUAACCGGUUAGUGUCUUUCAUAUAUGUAUUUAAUUUCUUGCAUCAUUAUUUACUGACCACUAUGCAUAAAUCCAAAAAAAAAUGGAUUUGAUAAAUAAAGGAAGCAUCCGGGUCAGUGCUCUUCUCCUUUUCUAUAUGUGAUUCUAUGUGUGACUGUAUCUGUGUAAUUUGUUGCUCCCAAAAAAUAAUGUGUAUGUUUUAUUCUGCCUAAGUGUAAAUGGAUGUUAUUAUGUAUUGUUUGGUAUUAUUUGUAGCAUAUCGCUUCUUUUAAUUAGCAGGGCAUUGAGAGCGUUGAAUUAAUUGAAGAGUCGCCGGGGGAUAGAUUUUCGGAGCAAAACUAUUCUGUUUUAAGUUUAUUUAUUGUUUAAGUUAUGUAUUCAUUGUUCCGUAAUAAUUUUGUUGUGUAACUCUAAAGCUCUCUAUAUAUAUGAAAUAUAUUUGGGGGAUCGCCUAAUUGGGGGAGGGGGAUUUAUGUGCUAAUUGCUUUACUUAUGUUGAGUCUAUUUGUGUCGUGAUAAUAACUGGCCCAUAAAACUGUUUUAAUAUGUUAGAUUAAAACAUACUUUAUCACAUGCUAAAUAACUAAUGGAAUAAAUAUGCUACUUGCCUUAUUAACGCCUUAGACUAUUAUGCAAGCACGCUAGAAAAUAUUAAAUGAAUGAAUCGCAAAAUUAAUCUCAUUCAUUAACUCUGUUGAAAUCACUUACCUUCGAAUCAAUUUGUUAAUAUUUCAUUGUUGUUUAUAUCCUAUUGUCUAACCUAAUUUAACAAAUCUCGUAUGUGAGCAUGUAAUUAAGCCCGUC
rnacentral:lncRNA from 1 species